GGACAGUUGGCAGAGUGGUAAUGCAGCGGAUUGCUAAUCCGUACAACGCAGAAAAGCGUUGCGUAGGUUCAAAUCCUACACUGUCCGCCA
rnacentral:tRNA from 1 species